rnacentral:rRNA from 1 species
GUCUACGGUCAUGCCACCCCGAAUGUGCCCGAUCCCGUCUGAUCUCGGAAGCUAAGCAGAGUCAGGCCUAGUUAGUGCUUGGAUGGGAGACCACCUAGGAAGACCAGGUGCUGUAGGCG